rnacentral:snRNA from 1 species
GUGCUCGAUACGGCUGCACAUAUACUAAAAUUGGAUCAAUACAGAGAAGAUUGGCAUGGCCCUGCGAAAGGAUGACACACAAAUCCGUGAAGCGCUCCAUGUUUUU